UUGGANUGGGCGCAGCCUGAUCCAGCAAUGCCGCGUGAGUGAAGAAGGCCUUCGGGUUGUAAAGCUCUUUUGUCAGGGAAGAAACGGUGGGGGCUAAUAUCCCCUGCUAAUGACGGUACCUGAAGAAUAAGCACCGGCUAACUACGUGCCAGCAGCCGCGGUAAUACGUAGGGUGCAAGCGUUAAUCGGAAUUACUGGGCGUAAAGCGUGCGCAGGCGGUUUUGUAAGUCUGUCGUGAAAUCCCCGGGCUCAACCUGGGAAUUGCGAUGGAGACUGCAAGGCUAGAAUCUGGCAGAGGGGGGUAGAAUUCCACGUGUAGCAGUGAAAUGCGUAGAGAUGUGGAGGAACACCGAUGGCGAAGGCAGCCCCCUGGGUCAAGAUUGACGCUCAUGCACGAAAGCGUGGGGAGCAAACAGGAUUAGAUACCCUGGUAGUCCACGCCCUAAACGAUGUCUACUAGUUGUCGGGUUUUAAUUAACUUGGUAACGCAGCUAACGCGUGAAGUAGACCGCCUGGGGAGUACGGUCGCAAGAUUAAAACUCAAAGAAAUUGACGGA
rnacentral:rRNA from 1 species